rnacentral:rRNA from 1 species
GACGAACGCUGGCGGCGUGCUUAACACAUGCAAGUCGAACGGAAAGGCCCUGCUUUUGUGGGGUGCUCGAGUGGCGAACGGGUGAGUAACACGUGAGUAACCUGCCCUUGACUUUGGGAUAACUUCAGGAAACUGGGGCUAAUACCGGAUAGGAGCUCCUGCUGCAUGGUGGGGGUUGGAAAGUUUCGGCGGUUGGGGAUGGACUCGCGGCUUAUCAGCUUGUUGGUGGGGUAGUGGCUUACCAAGGCUUUGACGGGUAGCCGGCCUGAGAGGGUGACCGGCCACAUUGGGACGGAGAUACGGCCCAGACCCCUACGGGAGGCAGCAGUGGGGAAUAUUGCACAAUGGGCGGAAGCCUGAUGCAGCAACGCCGCGUGCGGGAUGACGGCCUUCGGGUUGUAUACCGCUUUCGCCUGUGACGAAGCGUGAGUGACGGUAAUGGGUAAAGAAGCACCGGCUAACUACGUG